UCUCUCCCAUUGGUCAGGGGCCGCAGCGCGGGGUUUUCUGGUCCUGGUAGUUACGCUUUGCCCCGGGUGCCGCGGUCGAGUGGAGAGGCUACGCUGGCGGCGGGGCUGGGGUCUGUUCCGUGGUGUGGGGCAGUCCUGGGCGGUCUGUCCGGAGCCGCGAGCCGGUGGGCGAUGGAGGGAGCAGGUGGGGCUGCAGGUGGCGCCUGGAGGACCUCGGAGUCGGAAGAGGCGACGGCCGCGGGGCCUCUGGCAGCCCGCCCUCGGGACCUUGGAACCUCAAGCCAGAUACUGUUGCCCACCUAGAAUUUGGAAUAGAGCAAUGCAUGAUGGACAGAGAGCUCUCCCAGGAUUCCUGCCUAGAAAGGAAGAGACCUAGAAGCCAAGAGUUGCCACCAACAGAGGCCUUUGCCGGGAAGGAGUUACCCAGCAGCAUGAACCUGAUGAGGCCUGUAGUGGAUGGUUGCUGGUGUUCUACCACAGCAGAUGGCUGGGAACCUGGGGACGAGUCGGAGAAGCAGAAGACACACAGUGCCAUUUCCGGGCUGACGGGACAUAAACAAGGGCAAGUAGUGAGACCCGGGUUGGGGACUGGGGAAAUGCUGCAAUUGUGGGAAAAUGCAGCUUCAAUUCAGACUUUUUCUUCACGGAGAUUUCUUGUUAAAGAGUAUUUCUAUCAAAUUGACUCAACUCAAAGCGUACAGCAUAAUUUUAUUUUAAAAAAUCAUCAGGAAAUCUUGGUGGGGAAGAAACCUUGUAAAGGCAGUCCAUGUGGAAAACCUUUGGGAAACCUGUCGAAGUUGAAUGAACAUGGUAAAGAUACCAGCCAGAGCUUAUUCCUCUCUACACAUGAGAUAAUUAACAUAGGAGAGAAAUUCUAUGGAUGUAAAGAAAGUGGCGAUUUUUUUUAAUCUAUAGCUCACCCCUUUCUCAAGUCAUGAGAACUCCUACUAAGGAGAAACCUAUGAAUGUAAUGAAUGUGGGAAAGCCUUUAAGAAACUUUCAUCUCUUUCUUACCAUCUGAGAAAUCAUGGUAGAGAGAAAGCCUAUGAAUGUAAUGAAUGUGGGAAGUCUUUCUGGCAGAGCCUACACCUCAUUUUACACCGGAGAACUCACACUGGUGAGAAACCUUAUGAGUGUAAUAAAUGUGGAAAGUCUUUUAGCCAAAAUUCUCACCUUAAUGUACACCGGAAAAUUCAUACUGGAGAGAAACCGUAUAAAUAUGAUGACUGUGGAAAAUCCUUCAGUGGACGGUCUAAUGUCAGUGUGCAUAAGAGAACACAUACUGGAGAAAAACCCUAUAAAUGUAACAAAUGUGGGAAAAGCCCUUAGCGACUGCUCCUUCGAUACACAACAUGAAAGGACACACACUGGAGAGAAACUGUACGAAUGUGAUGAAUGCGGAAAAGCCUUUGGUCACAGCUCUCAUCUUACAGUUUACAAGAGAAUCCAUACUGGUGAGAAGUCAUAUAAAUGUAACGGAUGUGGGAAAACUUUCAGUUUUCAUUUAUCCUUCACUCAACAUAAGAGAAUGCACACUGGAGAGAAACCAUAUAAAUGUCAUCAAUGUAGGCAGGCUUUUAAUCAAGGUUCUGAUUUUAUUGGGCACUAAAAAACUCAUACGAGGGAGAAAAAAAUACA